AAUCUACUUUUUCAGAAUACUUCUAAUCUGCUCCCCGUCCCUGGGCAUGCUGCCUCCCUCAGUCCUGCCCUGCCAUUUGUCCUUUAUCUGCAACAAUAACCUCCCCACUGCUUGUAUUGCCUCCAGCGACCUCCUUGCCUCCAGAUGGAUGGUCCUAAAACACUAAAUGAUAUUACUCUCAUGCUUAACACCAAAGACAGCAUGUCAAUGUUAAAUAGUCAAUAGUGUAGUUUCAGUGCCCACCCGUGUGGUCUGGCAUUUAACAUAUUUUCCAGGAGAAG
rnacentral:lncRNA from 1 species